CAAUAGCGUAUAUUAAAGUUGUUGCAGUUAAAAAGCUCGUAGUUGGAUUUGUGGCUGUCGCAGGCGGCUCGGUACCUAGUACCGUAGUUAGCUCGCGUCGCCAUCCUUGGGUGGAACCUGUGUGGCAUUAGGUUGUCGUGCAGGGGAGGCCCAUCGUUUACUGUGAAAAAAUUAGAGUGUUCAAAGCAGGCUUACGCCGUUGAAUAUAUUAGCAUGGAAUAAUAAGAUAGGACCUUGGUACUAUUUUGUUGGUUUGCGCACCAAGGUAAUGAUUAAUAGGGACAGUUGGGGGUAUUCGUAUUCCAUUGUCAGAGGUGAAAUUCUUGGAUUUUUGGAAGACGAACUACUGCGAAAGCAUUUACCAAGGAUGUUUUCAUUAA
rnacentral:rRNA from 1 species